GGCAGAAUAAGUCCCACUGCUUCAAACAUCUUUACCUCGCUCUUGUUUGCAGGAUGCUCUGACCGCUUUCCGUCUGAUGGACAAGAACCGAGAUGGUGUGGUGAAUCGGAAUGACUUCAGGGCUCUGUUUGACAGCCUGAUGUUUGUAACCAAAGAUAAGGAGUAUCAGAGAUUGCUUGACCUGUUGGGCCUUACGCCUGGCUGCACACUCAACUACGCUGAGUUCUACAAUAAAGUUCACUCUAGCAGCAAGACGAAAUCACAUCACCACGAUAACACCUCGUAAAAACCACUCCUCUGGAAUUAAUAUUUAUAUUUAUCUUAGCUGUUUUUGCAACAGAAAUCUUUUUUUUUUUUUCAGAGGAGAUGGAUACCUUGACACUGCAUGUGACCAAGUUCAUGGCUAUUUGGCAUCCAUUGCACAGAAAAGACCUUCAGAGCUCUCAAAGGCCAUUUGUCAGUUGGGUGACGAUGUUAAAAGCAUCAUGACCAAAAAUGGUCUAAAGCAGCUACUUUUUAAAUACUACAUGCCCAUCACACCAAACGAGUUUGAAAAACUCUGGGACAGAUAUGAUGAAGAGGGGAAGGGCUUUGUCACUCAGACAGAGUUUUUAAGAAAGCUUAAAAUCACAUCAGAUGAAGACAGCCAAUCAGACGCUUUACAAGAACAGCUCACCGAGAGGGCGAUUUCCGCACCUGACCUGGAAGUUAUGCUACAAAAUCUUAGGAAGUGGAUUGGGAAUGACUUUGAGAGAGUGAGUGGAAGCCUCGUGAUUCUGGAUAAAAACAAAGAUGGUCACGUGACCGUGACAGACCUGCUCUCUCUCCUGCACAAACAUGGAUUUCGACUAAGAGAACAACAGCUCACACAUCUACUGAACCUGUAACUCUCUAUAUCAGACAUGUUAAUUUACUCAAAAUA
rnacentral:lncRNA from 1 species